CUACGGGAGGCAGCAGUGAGGAAUAUUGCACAAUGGGGGGAACCCUGAUGCAGCAACGCCGCGUGGAGGAUGGCGCAUUUCGGUGUGUAAACUCCUUUUAUAUGUCAAGAAAAUGACGGUAGCAUAUGAAUAAGCACCGGCUAACUCCGUGCCAGCAGCCGCGGUAAUACGGAGGGUGCAAGCGUUACUCGGAAUCACUGGGCGUAAAGGACGCGUAGGCGGGUUGGAAAGUCAGGUGUGAAAUCCUACAGCUUAACUGUAGAACUGCACUUGAAACUUCUAAUCUAGAGUAUGGGAGGGGGAGAUGGAAUUAGUGGUGUAGGGGUAAAAUCCGUAGAUAUCACUAGGAAUACCUAAAGCGAAGGCGAUCUCCUGGAACAUUACUGACGCUAAGGCGUGAAAGCGUGGGGAGCAAACAGGAUUAUAUACCCUCGUAGUC
rnacentral:rRNA from 1 species